rnacentral:rRNA from 1 species
ACGAACGCUGGCGGCGUGCUCAACACAUGCAAGUCGAACGGAAAGGCCCUGCUUUUGUGGGGUGCUCGAGUGGCGAACGGGUGAGUAACGCGUGAGUAACCUGCCCUUGACUUUGGGAUAACUUCAGGAAACUGGGGCUAAUACCGGAUAGGAGCUCCUGCUGCAUGGUGGGGGUUGGAAAGUUUCGGCGGUUGGGGAUGGACUCGCGGCUUAUCAGCUUGUUGGUGGGGUAGUGGCUUACCAAGGCUUUGACGGGUAGCCGGCCUGAGAGGGUGACCGGCCACAUUGGGACUGAGAUACGGCCCAGACUCCUACGGGAGGCAGCAGUGGGGAAUAUUGCACAAUGGGCGGAAGCCUGAUGCAGCAACGCCGCGUGCGGGAUGACGGCCUUCGGGUUGUAAACCGCUUUCGCCUGUGACGAAGCGUGAGUGACGGUAAUGGGUAAAGAAGCACCGGCUAACUACGUG